CCAAUAGCGUAUAUUAAAGUUGUUGCAGUUAAAAAGCUCGUAGUUGAAUUUCGGGAUCUGUCCAUUGGUCGGGCCUCACGGUCCGUACUGGUGAGAUGGGUUCCUACCUUCUGAAUAACCAGCAUGCCAUUUAGUUGGUGCGCUGGGGAAGCAGAGCUAUUACCUUGAAAAAAUUAGAGUGCUUAAAGCAGGCUAGUGCUUGAAUAGAUUAGCAUGGAAUAAUAAAAUAGGACGGCAUGGUUCUAUUUUGUUUGUUUCUAGGAUCACCGUAAUGAUUAAUAGGGAUAGUUGGGGGCAUUAGUAUUCAAUUGUCAGAGGUGAAAUUCUUGGAUUUAUUGAAGACUAACUACUGCGAAAGCAUUUGCCAAGGAUGUUUUCAUUAAUCAAGAACGAAAGUUAGGGGAUCGAAGACGAUCAGAUACCGUCGUAGUCUUAACCAUAAACUAUGCCGACUAGGGAUCGGAUGAUGUUAAUUUUUUAAUGACUCAUUCGGCGCCUUACG
rnacentral:rRNA from 1 species